rnacentral:rRNA from 1 species
AACGUAGGAGACAAACGUUAUCCGGAGUUACUGGGCGUAAAGGGCGUGCAGGUGGUCUGUUAAGUCUGGCGUGAAAGCUCUCGGCUAAACCGGGAGAGGUCGUUGGAUACUGGCGGACUAGAGGACGGUAGAGGCGUGUGGAAUUCCGGGUGUAGUGGUGAAAUGCGUAGAGAUCCGGAGGAACACCAGUGGCGAAGGCUACACGCUGGGCCGUACCUGACACUAAAACGCGACAGCAUGGGGAGCGAACGGG